CAAAUCCACACAUGCACCGACACAUACGGCCGGGUGCCCGGCCGCGGACAGGCGUCCGGGUCGCCGUGUGCGGGUGUAUGGAGGCCCAAC
rnacentral:sRNA from 1 species